CAGGAGGGGGUGGGCGCCCAGGUCAACUGGGCGGGCGCCCAGUGCCUGGCUCCGUUCAGCCUCCACUUCCUUCCCGUGGCUUCUGGAGUCCUCUAGAUGGUAGAAAAUUGCGCAGUGCGUUGAUAUCUCCAUGUAAUCCCGACAUGUGGGCCUUUCUUCCUUAUUUCCUGAUAACCCCCUGCAGAAACAGAUAAAUAACAAAACUCGUGGAAUUCUGUCAGAUCAAACCCUAAUUCUAGGUGUUGGUUGUAUAUUGGUCCUUUCUCUUGUUUAUUUGGUAAUUAAAAUUGAUACUUAACAACCAUCAACAAAUACCCCCAUACUUAGGCUUUUACUCGUCCUCGAGAAAAGGAUGGUUAAGAACAGUAUCUGGGGUAAAACAUUUUUAAAACAUUCUCUUCAUACUGCAGGGUGUUAAAAUCUACUGUGUACUAUAGUCAGGGAAGUAUAUGGUUAAGAGUAAAGAUCCUUUUCUUCUUAAUCCUGUCACUUGGAGUUUUUGUAUAUUUUUGAAAAGAAAGUUAGCAUACCUUUUAUCCUCAUAGGUUCUCUCAGAUCACACAUCAUCUUUUAUAUAUCUCACUGAGGCUGUUUUAAUUUGCAAAAUUUCUCAAGCAUAUUUAUUGCCUGAUCAAAACGGGAUCCGAGGAGGGGAAUGUCAUACUCUUAGAUCAAAGACUUUGGAAAUUAAAAUCUUUGUCAACUCUUGCUGGCAUGUUGCUUAUUAGAGGGACCAUGGGCUAUCAUUCAUUUUUUUCUCUUCUUUUCUCUUUUUUUAAGUGGAUACCGAGGUACCCCUAAUUCUACUGCCGGACACUUGUCCAUUUUUUUUCUUUCUGCGAGGUUAUCGAGCACUUGCUCCUUUUUAUUUCCUCAAAUUAUUCAUAUUUUUGCAUAGCCCAUGCCUCUAAUGCAAUAAUACUUCGGAAGAGUGAAUCUUUCUGAAUAAUGUCCUGAUCUUAGGAGCAUGAUAAAUAUCUCAACAAGCUUGGUCUAACUCAUUUUGAACAAACUCAAUACAGAGUAAAUAGCUUUUAUAAUCAUAAUUAAUAUUUUUAGUUUUAUUAGGCAUAUAAAACACUGAGGAUGGUAGCUGGAAUUUUUGAAUAAAUUCUACAAGCAACAAUGAUAUCAAGAAUGAGAAACUCAUACUCUACCAUCUCACAUUCCAUAUUGACUUAAGUAACACAGGGUUUUUAAAAUGAUUUUCAAUAAUUUGUAGUUUCCAGGAGAUAUCAUGAUUAGUAACAUUUUAAUCUUUUUAAUUGAUCAUGUUGGAAACAAUAUUCUGCAUAAUCUAAGAUAUAUAUGAGUAUGUGUAAAGUGUGCAGAGUGUGUACCUAAAUCGUGGAGUGGUGUAGUCAAAGUGUGUUUGGCAUGUCGAGGGAUCUCCCCCAUACUUGUUUUCUGCUUUCUUGCACAAAAAUAAAGUAGAGACACACAAGACAUAAUAAUAAUAAUAAUAAUAAUAAUAAUAAUAAUAAUAAUACACUUUAUUAAUCUUGAGGCAUUUAUUAUGAAUGACUAGUAGCAAACUGACGAUAAUAGUAGCAAACUGACGAUAAUAGUAAACCUAAACCGAAUUUAAAGAUAGACAACUAAAAUGCAUUGCGUCAAGAUCUAAUCUAGAUAACUUAGUGGCGCUCUAAUUCCUUGAUCUUCUUAUUGGCACUGGCAAGAUCCUGCCUAAGGCCUAGUAUAACGGUGUUGUGGUUAGAGAGCUGCCUAGUGAGGGAAUUAACUGAGGACUGGAGGUCUAUGGUAACUCUGUCUAGCCUGCGACGCUUGGGAGGUGUUUCAAAAGCAUUGAGAGCAUGCUUCGAGGCUGCCUUUGGAGGGAUGAAACGGACUUUGGCUACUCUAAUCCCUUCGAAGUAAUGCCUUCCUCCUCCGUAGUGUAGCGGAUACUGCUGAUCUCGCCACUCCGGUUGGUCUUGACUCCAACGACCCUCUCAUUGGGUCUGGGUGGAAGGAUCCUUGUGCCGGUUGGCACUUUGAUGGUGGUCUUCGUCUGGGAUGAUGAUCCCUUGAGGAGUAGGGGUUGUGGCGGUGCGGUGAGAACUGGUUGAGCAUGGUAGGAUUGGGCGGAGCUGCGCUGGCGUAAUGGCAUGGCUUCUAGCUGUCGCUCUGUGUUGGCCGGGACGAGAGCACGAGCGUUGGGGUCUUCCACAGGCUCCAUGUUGAGGUUGAAGGGGACGACUUCCCAAUCAUCGUGGAACUUCUCGGCCAUUGGAGCAGCGAGGGGCUAAUCAAGCUCUAAUUGAAAAAGAAGAGAAGGCUUGGGUGGAUUGGUGUUUGAAAACUGAUGUCAGGGGUCUGUUUAUAUAGGGGUCCAAAAGUGCCUCUAGGGGUUGUUCGGGUUGCUCCCGUCGAUGUGCGUGAGAAACUUUCCAUGUGAGGGAUUAUUCGGAUUACCAUAAGUGUAUUUUCCAUAACAGAGAAAAUCGGGACCGAAGGGGAACAGGUGCUGGGCGCCCGCCCUCUCUCUGUCUCCUCUGUGGGCUCGCUUCCUCGAGCGUGUUUCUAGAUGCAAAACUUUUUAGGAAAAUAUAUGUAUGCCCCAAAAACGUUAGAUUAAAAAUGUUGGGCUCUAAUUCUCCAUGGGAAGGUAAAAAUGGACUACGUCUAUUUCUUCUAAUUCUUUAUUGGGCUCUAAAAACAAUUUAAGACGUUGACCAUUUACCUUUAAUAACGUACCUUCGUUAUUUUGAAGUGUGAUAGCUCCGU
rnacentral:lncRNA from 1 species